UGCCCCUUCGUCUAAUGGUAGGACAGCGGACUUUGAAUCCGUGAAUCGAGGUUCGAACCCUCGAGGGGCAGCCA
rnacentral:tRNA from 1 species